rnacentral:rRNA from 1 species
UACGAAGGACCCGAGCGUUAUUCGGAUUUAUUGGGUUUAAAGGGUGCGUAGGCGGAUUAGUAAGUCAGUGGUGAAAGCCCAUCGCUUAACGAUGGAACUGCCGUUGAUACUGCUAGUCUUGAGUAUGGUUGAGGUGGGCGGAAUGUGUCAUGUAGCGGUGAAAUGCUUAGAUAUGACACAGAACACCAAUUGCGAAGGCAGCUCGCUAAACCAUAACUGACGCUGAGGAACGAAAGCGUGGGGAGCAAACAGG